GCGCCAAUAGCUCAGUUGGGAGAGCGUCAGACUGAAGUUUGCCAUCCGCAAAACCGUCUUUGGUCCUCGAGUAACAUCGAUAAUCUGAAGGUCACCCGUUCAAUCCGGGUUUGGCGCA